CUUCCUCUGCUUUGCUCUCAUUGUUGACAGUUUUUUAACUACUGAAAAUAAUACUUUUUUGUGGUUUGUUUUUUUGUUUAAAACCAUAGUUAAAUACCGGAUUUGCAGUAGGUAUUACGUCUGGAAUGACAUGUCGCUCGGUUAUUAGACGGAGCAGUUUGUGUGGGAAAUACUCGCACGUUUUCUUCUUCACUUGUUUGCUAGCUAAGCAACUAGCCGUCUAUAUCCUGCUAUACAGCUGCCUUGUGUCUGCGAAUCUGCACUGAAAGCCGAGAUUAUGUUUCUCGACGUGCUUCUGUUACACUUUUACUUGCUUUAAAUAAGCAGUGCAGCAUGACAUCCGAGGGAAUUGUGAUUCGGAUAAAGACCCCGCUGGGAGACAUGGACUCAUCUGUGGACUCUCCAUCACAUCUCAACUUUAAUGAUCUGCUCGUGAGUGGCUCAUCUAACUUUAGUCACAGUGUGCUUUCAUGUGCAUUCUAGAGAAACAGAGCUUUCAUGGAGAAUGUCGUUCCCUGAUGAGAGGUUUUCAGAGGAGUGCUGAUUGACAGCUGUCAGUCAACUGUGUGAUGGUUCUCUUGUUUGGCAGGACGUGAUCAGAGAAUUGUCAUGCCUGAAGCCACAGUCACCGCUUUUGAAUGUGAGCAUUGACGCUGUAUUUAAAUAGUUUUACUGUUUUCAAGAGAAGUUAGCUCAAAGCCAUGCUGUCGUAUGUGAGUAUCCCUGAGGUAUAAACAAAGCUGAGUCCUUUUUUUUUGCUGUUAAACAGUAUGGUUUCAGCAUAAUUUCUUAAAUAUUUAUUGGCAGAUUGCCAGCAAAGAACUACAUUGCCUCUAAUUAUAAACAAAGCUCCACCAAUCAGAGAAGUCACACAACACUUCCCACAAGAGAGCAUUGCAUGAAGCAUGUACUGUAAUGACUUAUAACUUACUCACAAUAUCAGAUUUUCACUGCAAAGUUAUUAUGACCAAAAUAAUUAAUUUGGAUAUCUAUAGAAAUUUUAGGCAAAAACUAUCAGUCAAAUUUAUGUUUAAGUUUGUUUUCUACAAUAAAUCACACCCAUAAUAUAAUUCUAGGGAGAUGGAGAGAGAGUUGUACAAAAAGAAAGCAUACAAAAAUAACUGCGUCUUUCUCUUUUUCUGUUUAUGAUGGGUGGUUACCAGGGUUAAGGUGCUCUGUCAGCAAUCAUUAGCACGAUUGUCAAAUCUGAUAUAUUAUGAUACCUCAUCUUGAAUCUGGUUGGUUCAUCAUGAUACUCUUCAAUAAAAAUGCAGUAAUGAAAUGUCGAUGUAGAAGACGGACAAAGAAAAAUACUUCUGGAGCCAAGGCUGCUGAAACGUGGAUUGUCAGUGUUGCACUCGGUUACAGUUUGUUGUACUAGACUUUUGUAUGCUGAAAGUGUUUUUGUUGGAAGGGAAAAGCCAUUACAAAUCUAUCAUUCCAGAUCUAAUCACCCUUGGGGAAAGUGUUUUCAUUACUUUGCUGAUUGGCAAGGAUGACAAGUAGCUACAUAUUUUCUUUUUUCUCUUCAAUUUCUUCAACUGUUUCCAGGCUGCACCUCUUGAUGCAUCUCUGGCUCGGUUACAGGUGUUAACCAAGCAAGAUUAGCAGAGGGAUGAUUGUAAUAUUAAAAUCCUGUUUAUCUGUUAUUAGUCAUUAUUUUUGUGUUGACUUUGUGAGCAGGCACAAAAAAUUUGUUUCUCAUACAUUUAAUAAAAAGCUUUCGUAAACUUUUGCCUGAUCGCCUAUUUAAACUUGUUUUCAAGUCCAGGAAUAAUGCCUACUCUUGUUUCCUCUCUGCAUUAUCUUUCUCAGAUUUCUGUUUGUUGUUUUCAAAGUUUUUCUUUUGAGACCGCCGUAAAAGUGCUUUCCAUACUUACUGCUCACACAUUGUGGACACCAAGCGUAAUGACUCGUUAUAGUUUCUCCCCCUGUGAAGUACAGUGGAAGUUAAAUGAACUAUCAACUUUUAUUAUUUAUUAUUCAAUACUUAAAGUUUCGCCUCAUUAGAAGCACAGCCCUCCUGGGUAGAGGAAUUUUUCAAAAUCCACUUUCAGCUGGUGUUGUCUUUUACCCCCCAUCAGCUCUCAAUGACUCUUGAGUAGCCAUGGGCUCCAAAACGACUGCUUCUGCAGGAAAAUGAAAUCGCUUAGGUUUGAUAUUUAUUUAUUUUUAGAUGCUUUAUCAAAGUUGCACCUCUCAAGGCCAUUGCAGUCAUUAGCCAGAUUAGGCCAGAAGGUGACACACUGACAAUGAUGUCUCGCGGGUGUCCUGCACUGCCUGAGUGUAAUUCAACUUUUUCUCCCGUCUUGAUUAAUUCUGCGGUCGCCGUGUGGCUGGUUUUGAGACACACGUUCUGACAUUGGAGAUAUUUGCGGGAAUGUGUGUGUUCUCAUUUGUUAUCGCAACAAUCUGCAGUAAUGCUUGUCUUAAGGAACAUGUCUUCAAACAUCAGCAAAGAAUUCUUUGAGGCCAUACUUCCCUGACAGUUAAUAUUACCGCACGUUGUAGAUUGCCUUCCCAUCGCAUUUUGGUUAACAGCACAACCGAGUCAACUUUUUCUGAAAAUUAGUUUUUCCUCCCAUGAUGCCGUUUGCUCCUCUGGGGAGAGCACAAGCUGCUGAGAAAGGGGGAAUUUAAUAUGCGUGUUACAUGUUCAGAAGCUUGCGCUUACAUUUAACCGAUCAUUGUGGACAUAUUUCAAGCGUGCGCCCUUUGCCUUGGUGGCGCUUGGGGUCUCUUUGGGGGCCUUUAUAAAUUUGCUUCAAUUAAUUCCAUCUGAAAGGAUCUACUGUUAUGUAGACUUAAUAGGAAUAAAGAGAUGACUUCUUGCUUUACAGGUGCGUAAGCUAAUUCGCCAAGCUCUCUGGUGGAAUCCGACCUUCAAACUGUCUUCGCUGCACGUUAUUUAUUUAUUUAUUUAACUCCAGCAGUUCUCAUCAGUCUUGUGGUCUCCGAGACCUCUCUAUCGCUCUUCUGGGGUCCCAGUGAGGUGCUUGUUACCAUCAGCCUUUCCAGGAUGUUAGUUCAAAGUUAAAGACUGACCCAUGUCAGAUGUAGCAUCGCUAACACACCCACACACCCACACACACUCACAGGCAUUGAUCUCCCAGGCUGGGCCGGCUAAUUACGGAGCGCUUUACUCAGGGUGUGUUAAUGAUCGGGGUCCAACAGAGCGGAGGUCCGACGACUCUGUUCCCUCCAGCUCUCAAGCUGCCGUCUUGUGAUCAAACUGCCUUUAGUUAUUGUCCAACAAAGGGAGGUUUCUUUUAAUACACCGUUACAGAUUAGUUAGGUAAUUGCAGCCCUAAUCGAUAAAGCAACCGAGUGGAAAAUGAAAGGUGUGUGUUUUGGUAGAGCUACAUGGUUUCAGCGCCUGCAGGCAGUGCAGAGAGGUGACAGUGAUAAAUAGGGUAUUUAAUAACAGCUGCUCUAACACUGCUUCCUCUGCAUGUCCUCGCGCACGCUCCGGCGUGUUCAUCAUGCAUUCGCACGCAGCGGAGGGACGGGACUGUACCACCGGCCCCUCAGUUAGGCUUGCUUUUGACCUUUGUCUUGUUCUGCCUUUGUCCCUCUUUCUCUCUGUCGCUGUCUUUCUUUCAAACGCUGACACUCUCCCCUCCUCUCUUGUCCAUCUGGAUCUGUGGUUUUUAAUGGCUUUAUUGUGUGUGAUGGGGGCUCUGUGUUUGGGCACAAAGGUCUCGGGCUGGACCGAGAGAAGAGAACGGGCGACCAGAUGGUUCUGUUAACCGAAACAUCAAAUAGAAUUUUUCCUUUGGCAGGAGACAAAAAUCUGUGCACGUGUUUGAAAGAGAGUGGAGUUCUUUUGGAAUAGAAUAAGCAAAAGUGCUAGAUGUCUUUAAAAACCAUUGAAUAUUUAUACAAAUGUAAAAUAAUAAAUAAAAUAUAUGAAAUUGUUAGGUAAUUGCAAUUACCUAAAUAUAUAUCAAAUAAAAUAUCACAUAUUAAAUACAUGUAUGAAACCAGUUUCUGUAUUAAAAAUACAAGAUCAGUUUUUGAUAUUGAUUAUUUAUAAAUAUAUAUAAUGUAAAUAGAAAUACAUCAUAAAUAAUAUAGAAAAUAACAAAUAAUGUAAAAUAUUAUUUAGUUUUUCAUACAUAUAUGCGAGUAUGUAUACACACACACAUAUAAUAUCACGUGAAGCUUUGAACAUUGAAUGUACAAGUAAAUGUACAGGGUGAUGAUUACAAAACAAGUAUUUAAAAACAUUUUUUAAUGGUAUAAUUAAAGAAAUUAUUAUUUUGAAUAAUUAAAGCUAAAACAAAAUACAACAAAAAGCUUGCCAUGACAUUAAUAAUAUCAUAGGUUUAUAAAUGCCAGUCUCCAUUUCAGCCUAUUAUGCAGAGUAAUUAAUUAAUAGGCAGCCGUUGCUGGCAGAUUGCUUUCCGUCAGGCUGAAAUGAGAAAACUCAAUGAUUGGUCUGCGCUUGGCAGCCAUUACAACGGAUGAAUUGAUAAAGAGGGUGACUGGUGUUUCAAAAAGAUUCGUUUCGCCUCUUUUCUUUUCCUCCCAACAUGCAAGUGACUCGGUGAGAAAGAGAAUGCAUUGCUUUUAAUCCAUGGGACUUUUUUCUGAAAGACCUUCAUCGAGCCUAAUAUUGAUUCUGUGUGUGAUAUACUGUAAAAAUGAAUUGGGCUGCUUUUUAAGAGUUUUGUUUGCACUUUAUUCUCUGCUGUAUUGCAACACAGUAAUGGAGCAACGCAUCAAUGGACUGUUACCUGUGCCUUUACAGAUAUUGCCAUGAGCCAGUAAGACCCCAGGGAUCCACAACAUACACGGCCUGGAGGUGAACAUGCGGCCCGAAUCCUCCAGUGACAGGGGCUCCUCUGCGGUCCAAUGAUAGUUUAAAGAAAUCUUCAGCUGAGUGAGCUUAAGAAGAUUUUGACAAAUGGACAGGUUAUUGCUCUCGACAUCACAGUGGAGCUGCAGAAGCAGAUCAUGUCAGAGCUUGAGAUGCUUUACAAGUGUGAUACAUCAUAAAGUUCUACGGUGCUUUCUUUGUGGAGAACAGAAUAUCGAUAUGCACUGAGUUUAUGGAUGGUGGUAAAAGGAUUAACGUACCUCUUGAGCCUGAAGAUUUUACAUAGAGAUGUGAAACCCUCCAACAUGUUGGUUAACACACAGGGUCAGAUCAAACUGUGUGACUUUGGAGUCAGGACACAGUUGGCACUGGGAUCUUUUUCAUAUCCACAGAUUCAAAAGAACCAGGGUUCCUUAAUGGCCUCUUCAGUUAUUGCAGUGCGUUGUUGAUGAGGAUCCUCCAGUGCUUCCAAUCCAAUUCCGAAUUUGUCCACUUGGUUACACAAUGGACCACCCCUUUGUCAUGCAAUAUAAUGAUGGCAACACGGAGGCCGUGUCCAUGUGGGUGUGCCGCAGUCUAGAGGAGCGCAAAAGCCAGCAAGCACAGAGACUCAUGUGAACAGCAGCAGCACCGGAUGGAAUUCUGGUGUUCACUUUACUCUUCCACUAAACCUAGAGAAGCAGCAGCUGAUCUUGCAGCAGCUCACAUAGAGCACCUCCUCCCAACCUUGAGUUCAGUGGUGCAUGGUGAGAGAACUGCUACGAGUCGAAUGCAGAUUAUGCUGCAAAUGAAGAUUUUAACCAUGUGUGUUGGUUUGCAUUGAUGAAAAAGCUUAAACUUUGUUCUUCUGCAGUGAGUUUGCAGUGAGUUUCUUUUCUGUGCAGAUUCCAAAGUAAAUGUUUUGGCAGAAGAUCCCUGCGGGGGGGCUGUUGCUUGCUCGACUCGACUUGGAUUUGAGUGAAAAUGCUGUCUCUGUCUGUACUUAAAGCAACAAUCUGGCUUUGCCAAAACAGUGUGGGCAUGUCAUAAAUCAUCAUGGUUUUUAAAUAUAUGGGGCUGUGUCAAGCAUUGCUCCCUGCUACAGUGCAAGUCAUGCUGCUGUUGUUUUAAAAGCCACUUUUUGUUGAGUUUCCAAAACAGUUGUGGCAGUAUACCAUUGAAGAUGGAAAAAUGUGAUGCAUUGUUAUGAUGGAAGGCAGUGGAUGGCUUGGGAGGAUGAGCUUUUAGAUAGUUCAGCAGCAGCCGAUGGGAAUGAUACAUGAGAGCCCAGUAGAUUUUGUUCUUGCACUCAUCCAGCAUAAGCCCCGCUGAUAACUUUAUUAAAGGGGUUCAUGGGAAUUGGUUCCUUUGAUUUGUGCAUUGCCUUAAUCUCUCUUUCUAGGUAAUUUUAUACACUUUUAGCUUUAUGUGCUCUAAAAGUUGGGGUCUGUUAAGAUGUUUUUCCAGCAUUCAGUUAAGAUGCAUUAAAAGUGACUGUAAAGACCAUAUUACAGAAGACUUCUUUUUCAAAUAAAUGUUGUUCUUUUGACCUUCCUGAAAAAAGUAUCACAGUUUCCUCAAAUAUGAAGCAGCACAACUGUUUUAACAUAGAUAAUAGUAAGAGUUUUUAUUUUUAUUUUAUGUUAUUACACCAGUGGAGACGACUGCGGAAGAAGAGUGCAAGUGGAAGUAGAGCAUUUUAUGUAAUGGAGAAUGUGUAUAGUUCUUCAAAUGUAGUCACAUACCAAAACCAAAUGUUGCAUUGUUAGAUUUUUUGAAGCUAUAUUACGUUUGUUGAACCAUUUUUUAAUAUGUACAACUGUAUUGAAUUAAUUUCUUAGAUUAUAAUGACAGUUGGUCAAAAAAAAAAAAUCUAUGAGCAACAAAACCAACCAUGUGACUACCUAUAAUAUAAUUGAGGUGAGGUUUGCACAUAAAGGUGAUUUUCUUUUUUUUUCCGCAAUAAAAACUUUCAGAUCUCAUUGUUUCA